CUGAGGGUCCCAUUUGGAACCCCAGCAUGAGGAAGGGGCAACAAGGACACAGCAUAGGCCACCCCUUUCUGGGCACCUUCACCACACAACUCUGCUCGCUGUGGUUUUGAAAGACCUCCAAGUACAAGUGCUUCUGGGAGACUUCUAAAUCUGGAGUGUGCCUCCCCGAGCCAGCCCUUGAGAAUUACAGUCAAGAUACAAACUGAUGCAUGAACGAGUAAAGAUAUAACUUUAUAGGAAACAAAAGGCAAGCCCUUGUUGAUGAGGGACGACCAUCCCCUAAAGAAGAGGAAGCGAAUGGCAACAGGCUACAGAAAGCCAAGGAAUGGUAUGAUCUGAAACAGAGAAGUAAAAGGAAAACACAAGAACAAAGAGAGUGGCCGGGGCCACAUGCGCAGAUGUAGACCUCAUCAGGACCCUGCCUUUUCUUGGGUGGUUGUUGCUUCCUCU